AUUGCUCGCUGGCGGCAGGCCUAACACAUGCAAGUCGCGCGAGCGGCGGACGGGUGAGUAAUGUAUGGGGACUGCCCGAUAGAGGGGGAUAACUAAUGGAAACGGUAGCUAAUACCGCAUACGAUCGGAUAACCCAUAUGGGAUUAGCGAGUAGUGGAGGUAAUGGCUAACCUACGCGACGAGCCCUAGCUGGUCUGAGAGGAUGAGCAGCCACACUGUGACUGAGACACGGCCCAGACUCCUACGGAGGCAGCAGUGCGGAAUAUUGCACAAUGGGGGCAAGCCUGAUGCAGCCAUGCCGCGUGUAUUAAGAAGGCCCUAGGGUUGUAAAGUACUGUCAGUCGGGAGGCGUUACCGACAGAAGAAGCACCGGCUAACUCCGUGCCAGCAGCCGCGGUAAUUC
rnacentral:rRNA from 1 species